rnacentral:rRNA from 16 species
AGGGAAGUCGGCAAAACGGAUCAGUAACUUCGGGAAAAGAAUUGGCUCUGAGGACUGGGCUCGGGGGUCCCGGCCCAAAACCCGUCGGCUAUCGGCGGAUUGCUCGAGCUGCUCACGCGGCGAGAGCGGGUCGCCGCGUGCCGGCCGGGGGACGGACCGGGAAUCGCCCCUUCGGGAGCUUUCCCCGAGCAUGAAACAGUCGACUCAGAACUGGUACGGACUACGGGAAUCCGACUGUUUAAUUAAAACAAAGCAUUGCGAUGGUCCUCGCGGAUGCUGACGCAAUGUGAUUUGUGCCCAGUGCUCUGAAUGUCAAAGUGAAGAAAUUCAACCAAGCGCGGGUAAACGGCUUGAGUAACUAUGACCCUCUUAAAGUAGCUGAUGGGGUUAUAGUCCUAGCGUAGGGUCAUAGGCCUGCCCUAUAGGUCCUACGCAAGGACUACCCUUCAUAAGGGACAAGGCCCUUAGUCAGUUCCGACUGAAUUAAGGACUUCCCAUCAUCCA